rnacentral:ncRNA from 2 species
ACGUACCACAGGGGGAGCCUGAAUGGCUGAGAGUGAACCAAUUGUUCUGACCCUUUGAACCUGUUAGUUAAUGCUAGCGUAGGGAGUGUGGAGCGUGCAGCUU